rnacentral:rRNA from 1 species
GAUGAACGCUGGCGGCGUGCUUAACACAUGCAAGUCGAACGAUGAAGCCCAGCUUGCUGGGUGGAUUAGUGGCGAACGGGUGAGUAACACGUGAGUAACCUGCCCUUAACUCUGGGAUAAGCCUGGGAAACUGGGUCUAAUACCGGAUAGGAGCGCCUACCGCAUGGUGGGUGUUGGAAAGAUUUAUCGGUUUUGGAUGGACUCGCGGCCUAUCAGCUUGUUGGUGAGGUAAUGGCUCACCAAGGCGACGACGGGUAGCCGGCCUGAGAGGGUGACCGGCCACACUGGGACUGAGACACGGGCCAGACUCCUACGGGAGGCAGCAGUGGGGAAUAUUGCACAAUGGGCGAAAGCCUGAUGCAGCGACGCCGCGUGAGGGAUGACGGCCUUCGGGUUGUAAACCUCUUUCAGUAGGGAAGAAGCGAAAGUGACGGUACCUGCAGAAGAAGCACCGGCUAACUACGUG